UACGGAGGGGGCGAGCGUUAUUCGGAAUUAUUGGGCGUAAAGGGCGCGUAGGCGGCUUCUUAAGUCAAAGGUGAAAUCCCUCGGCUCAACUGAGGAACUGCCUUUGAAACUGGGGAGCUUGAGUCCGGGAGGGGGUAGCGGAAUUCCCAGUGUAGCGGUGAAAUGCGUAGAUAUCCGGAGGAACACCGGUGGCGAAGGCGGUCAACUGGCCCGAAACUGACGCUGAGGCACGAAAGCGUGGGUAGCGAACAGG
rnacentral:rRNA from 1 species